AGUAGAGUGGCGGACGGCUGUGUAACGCGUGGGAAUCUACCCAGUAGUGGGGGACAACUACCGGAAACGGUAGCUAAUACCGCAUACGCCCUAUGGGGGAAAGGCUUCGGCCGCUAUUGGAUGAGCCCGCGUCAGAUUAGCUAGUUGGUAGGGUAAAGGCCUACCAAGGCAACGAUCUGUAGCUGGUCUGAGAGGACGAACAGCCACACUGGGACUGAGACACGGCCCAGACUCCUACGGGAGGCAGCAGUGGGGAAUAUUGGACAAUGGGCGAAAGCCUGAUCCAGCAAUGCCGCGUGUGUGAAGAAGGCCUGCGGGUUGUAAAGCACUUUCAGUUGGGAAGAUGAUGACGUUACCAACAGAAGAAGCACCGGCUAAAUCCGUGCCAGCAGCCGCGGUAAUACGGAUGGUGCGAGCGUUAAUCGGAAUUACUGGGCGUAAAGCGCGCGUAGGCGGCUAAGUCAGUCAGAAGUGAAAGCCCCGGGCUCAACCUGGGAAUUGCUUUUGAUACUGCUUAGCUAGAGUUUGGUAGAGGAUAGUGGAAUUCCAGGUGUAGAGGUGAAAUUCGUAGAUAUUUGGAGGAACACCAGUGGCGAAGGCGGCUCACUGGCUCGAUACUGACGCUGAGGUGCGAAAGUGUGGGGAGCAAACAGGAUUAGAUACCCUGGUAG
rnacentral:rRNA from 1 species